rnacentral:rRNA from 1 species
UCGGGAAUUUUGGGCAAUGGACGAAAGUCUGACCGAGCGACGCCGCGUGCCAGAUGAAGCCCUUCGGGGUGUAAAUGGCUUUUUUCAGGGACGAACAAAUGACGGUACCUGAAGAAUAAGAGGUUGCUAACUCUGUGCCAGCAGCAGCGGUAAUACAGAGACCUCGAGCAUUAUCCGGAAUUAUUGGGCGUAAAGGGUCCGUAGGCGGCUCUGUAAGUCAUAUGUCAAAUCUUUGGGCUCAACCCGAAGGCUGCGUGUGAAACUGUGGAGCUAGAGAUCGGGAGAGGCACAUGGAAUUACAGGUGUAGCGGUAAAAUGCGUUAAUAUCUGUAAGAACACCAAAGGCGAAGGCAGUGUGCUGGAACGAUUCUGACGCUGAGGGACGAAAGCGUGGGGAGCAAACAGGAUUAGAUACCCCUGUAGUCCCUGAGCGGGCUGGCAAGGCGCAU